UACAGAGGUCCCGAGCGUUGUUCGGAUUCACUGGGCGUAAAGGGUGCGUAGGUGGUUCGGUAAGUCGGGUGUUAAACCCCCAGGCUCAACCUGGGGACGCCACUCGAUACUGCUGUGACUAGAGUCCGGUAGGGGAGCGUGGAAUUCCUGGUGUAGCGGUGAAAUGCGCAGAUAUCAGGAGGAACACCAGCGGCGAAGGCGGCGCUCUGGGCCGGUACUGACACUGAGGAGCGAAAGCGUGGGUAGCAAACAGG
rnacentral:rRNA from 1 species